rnacentral:rRNA from 1 species
UUCCGGUUGAUCCCGCCGGAGGUUACUGCUAUCGAGGUUCGACUAAGCCAUGCGAGUCGAAUGUAGCAAUACAUGGCGAACUGCUCAGUAACACGUGGACAACCUGCCCUUAGGACGGGGAUAAACCCGGGAAACUGGGUAUAAUACCCGAUAGGUCUCGAUUGCUGGAAUGCAUCGAGAUUUAAAGCUCCGGCGCCUAAGGAUGGGUCUGCGGCCUAUCAGGUAGUAGUGGGUGUAGCGUACCUACUAGCCUACGACGGGUACGGGUUGUGAGAGCAAGAGCCCGGAGAUGGAUUCUGAGACACGAAUCCAGGCCCUACGGGGUGCAGCAGGCGCGAAAACUUUACAAUGCUGGCAACAGCGAUAAGGGAACCUCGAGUGCCAGGUUACAAAUCUGGCUGUCGAGAUGCCUAAAAAGCAUUUCAUAGCAAGGGCCGGGCAAGACCGGUGCCAGCCGCCGCGGUAACACCGGCGGCUCGAGUGGUAACCGUUAUUAUUGGGUCUAAAGGGUCUGUAGCCGGCCGGAUAAGUCUCUUGAGAAAUCUGGCAGCUUAACUGUCAGGCUUUCAGGAGAUACUGUCUGGCUCGAGGCCGGGAGAGGUGAGAGGCACUUCAGGGGUAGGGGUGAAAUCUUGUAAUCCUUGAAGGACCACCAGUGGCGAAGGCGUCUCACCAGAACGGACCUGACGGCAAGGGACGAAAGCUAGGGGCACGAACCGGAUUAGAUACCCGGGUAGUCCUAGCCGUAAACGAUACUCGCUAGGUGUCGGCCACGGUGCGACCGUUGUCGGUGCCGUAGGGAAGCCGUGAAGCGAGCCACCUGGGAAGUACGGCCGCAAGGCUGAAACU